GUGAUUUUGUAACCUGUAGCUCUUUUGUACUGACUGCGGUUUUUCAGCCCAACUGGGCUAUUUAUAACUGAGAGUUGCGGGGGCGGGGUUUAGCAGUCGUAGGUUGCGCUGUUUUGUGCUAUUUUGCUUGUAGUUUCAGAAACAUCUCUCUGACAGAAUUUGCUGCUUACGUUCUAAUCUACGGAGCAGGAUCACACCAACAGAGCAUGCUCAGUAACAUCUGCUCCCUUCACUUGGAAUCAGAUUCUGCUGCCUGCUCUUAACAGAUACCAUAGAGAGGAGAUAAUUAAGAAUGUGCCUGAAAAAGUAAUUCCUUGUAUGUAUCCUCCUGAAUUCUGAGCCAAGUGGAACAAAGCAUUACAAUCCUACAAGCUGUUAGAAACUGACCAGGAAUCCAAAACAUUCCAAACUAAUUGUGUUCAUCCAGCCAGAACGGGGAGGAAUGCUCCUACGUUCAGUGGUGGAGAUAGCAUCGCUUACUACCCUCAUAAAUGGAAUCACUGAAGCAAGGUCUGGAAUAAAGAUACUAAAGAAUUAUACACCAAUGCCAAACAUAAGAGGAAAGUUGUCUACAUAUAAAAUCAUAUGCAGCUGUCACCUGAGUUCAUUUUAAAAUUAAAGAAUUUGAGAUCUUUAAUAAUUUUAAAUGUGGUCUAUACGGAGAAUAUAAAUGUGUAGUUUUAUUUCAUGUACUUCUGUUAGUAGCAGAAAUAAUGACUAAGUAUAACAGUACAUUUUGCUAUUUUUUAAAGAAAAAGCUUUUUUUAAAAUCAGAACCCAAGUUGCCAUCAAAACACAUAAAAUAAGAGUCAGACUUCAUUGUAACCUAAAGAUACUGUGAUGCGUUCUGUAACACACUUUCACUUCAUUUACCGUGUAAAGUUAUUGUGAGAUAAUUUUGUUACGUAGCAAUUGUCAAUUAGUAUGUUGCUCUCAGGAACUAGUCAGUAUUUAGGAUUUAAGCAUAAUUUGAUUUUGCCCUAGAAUUAAAAGCAUUGGCAUUUUAAUAAUAAAGUAUCUCAUUAGACUAGUACAUCUCAAAGUUAUUUUAUCUUGACUAAAACAGGCAAGGUAUUAAGAACUGUAAAUGUGUUUAUUACAAGUUACUUUGCAAGAAUAAUUAGCUAACAUUUAAACAUCAAUUUUGUAAUCAGUCUUCACUGGCCAAGUUUUUUUUUAAAUUAUACUUCUGAUAAUUACGCAAAAAAAAAAAAA